CCCCCGAGCGCGACGCACUUCGCUGCUCUGUAGUGCGUGAUCACUCGGCUAACCUCACCGUGCACCGCUGCUCUCUCUCUCGUCUUCACUUCUACUCUACACCCUCUCUUUUCGUUUCGUUGGGGUCAACCGCGAGUUUACCACGAUAACGAAAGCGAGUACUACGUGCUAAUAAGUCAGGCGGCCUCAUCGACUGCACACCAACC